UAGAAACUCUGACAGACCCAGCGCAUUACAUUCUCUGCAUUCUGAAAGUGAAAGGCACUCUAGCGAUAAGUUUCAUUUCUGAUGAAACAUGAGUGACGCAGUGAUGUUGUAGAUCAGCCUUGGUAAAACUCUGUUUUUCUGACCCUUGUCUUGUAUCUGCCCUGUGUACUGGUUAUGUGUAUGUAGGCUACAAGAAGCACCUUUUAGUUCAUUUCAAUCUUGGGUUCUGUUGACAAAGAAGAGAAACAAACACAGUAAAACUAGAUUUUGGUGGUAGGCUGCACAAGAAGGCUGGCCAUGGUUGGAAGGGGAUUCCUGGGUUGUUUCAUCUUGUGUCUGUCUCUGGCCUCAGUAUGCGCUGUCAAAGGAACCCUUAAAUCAAUAGAUGAUCUCAAGGGAAUAGAGUUUGGUCACACCUCUCCUCGGCACGGCCUCAUGCUACUCCACUGGCUAGCCAACAACAUUUACAAUGGACAACAAAGGCAACAUGAGACUCAAUUUCAACCCAGCCAGGAGAGACUAUGGCUUUCAUUUCUAUGGAAACGCUGAUAAUCCCCAUCUAUUACCUAUUCUGCCCUAUCAACGUGGAAAUUACUACUCACUAGGGAAUCUUGCUGACAAUAACAACAACAAUGAUGCUUUGGCACUUCCUGAUUAUGUAACUCAAAGAUUCUACAACUCAAGGGGACCUGAGAACAACAGGGACAGGGUCAUACUCAGAGUUAGGGAUGAAGGGUCCAAUCAGUUCAUAGUAGACGAGGUCUAUGUCACACAGCACUAUCCACGAAAUGAAAACAGAGGAAGUGCCUAUGAUCCAGACAAUACAUACCGUGUCAAUGUCAGCCUCCUUAGACAAAUCCAAAGUCUACCAACCAUUAACCUAAAUUAUAUUCUACAAACAUAUAAUGUAGAGAUCAACGACAAUAUUCUGGAGCAUCUGGAAAACACCUGGAGAGACACACCUGGUCUGGCACUUCUUCUGGCUAUUGUAUUGUACUUUACACGUCCCAAAACCUUAAUUAAGGACCAAGCGUUUGGUUUAAUAUUACAAUCCAAGAGGGUCAUGGAGGAUAAGGAUAAUACAUUGAUUAAGCUUGAGGUGAAAACCACAAAUAGAGGAAAAGCCAGGAUCAUCUGGAGUGGUAUCCCCAAGAGGCUAUUGGACCAGGGGCGUAAUGGUGGUUCUUUAUAAGAGCAAUAACCCUGACAGUAAGAGCGAGCUAGACAGAUCAUCAGUUGGGGGCAAAGCCUCUGGAAGCUAUAACACCUCAGUACCCCUUAACCCUGGUCUCCAGGUCAGGCUCCAUAAGGAGGUAAAAACAUGGUGGAAUUACUUGGGAUUUGGGUCUCCAACUGGAGAGGAGAUCUGGAGAGGUUCUGAGUUUCACGAUGCCAACAGAGAGAUUCCUGUUGAUAUUAACGGACAUGACGCCAGUCUGCAGCUCUUUGUGAAGGAUGGAAAGGCCUGCGCUCGUCUGUACGUAAAGAGGUCCUUCACUGACUGGAAGAAAACGUUUAAUAACUCCUGGGUUGGGUUCUACUCUUCUGAAGGCACCCUGGAUCAUAACACCUGGCAGUGGGCUGUAAAGUUCUCUGAGGAAAGCCGCUCUGAUUGGGCAGGUAUACGUGGGUGUAAUGUCUAUGUGUAUGAGUCUAGUAUGACCAUGUCUCCUGGGGUCCAGGCCAGAUUCAUACUGGAGAAAUCUGGGGGUGAAAAGGCACGCACUCCACCCUGGGAGAGAUUUGUCCAGGGGUGAGCUCACCUGAUAACAUGAUCUAUGAUGUUGAUAUUCUCAUUUUUAACUGCUUUUGUAAUUGCUUUUGUUAAUGUUUAACAUUUAUGUACCCUGCUUUUCAUUUGGUUUAUUUUAAUUGCUAAUCUGUGUGAAGUGUAAAAGAGAAUCUGUUCCCAAAAAUCC